UACAGAGGUGGCAAGCGUUGUUCGGAAUUACUGGGCGUAAAGGGCGAGUAGGUGGCCAACUAAGUCAGACGUGAAAUCCCUCGGCUUAACCGGGGAACUGCGUCUGAUACUGGAUGGCUUGAGUUCGGGAGAGGGAUGCGGAAUUCCAGGUGUAGCGGUGAAAUGCGUAGAUAUCUGGAGGAACACCGGUGGCGAAGGCGGCAUCCUGGACCGACACUGACACUGAGGAGCGAAAGCCAGGGGAGCAAACGGG
rnacentral:rRNA from 1 species